rnacentral:rRNA from 1 species
UGGGGAAUUUUGGACAAUGGGCGAAAGCCUGAUCCAGCAAUGCCGCGUGUGUGAAGAAGGCCUUCGGGUUGUAAAGCACUUUUGUCCGGAAAGAAAUCCUUGGCUCUAAUACAGUCGGGGGAUGACGGUACCGGAAGAAUAAGCACCGGCUAACUACGUGCCAGCAGCCGCGGUAAUACGUAGGGUGCAAGCGUUAAUCGGAAUUACUGGGCGUAAAGCGUGCGCAGGCGGUUUGCUAAGACCGAUGUGAAAUCCCCGGGCUCAACCUGGGAACUGCAUGGUGACUGGCAGGCUAGAGUAUGGCAGAGGGGGGUAGAAUUCCACGUGUAGCAGUGAAAUGCGUAGAGAUGUGGAGGAAUACCGAUGGCGAAGGCAGCCCCCUGGCCAAGUACUGACGCUCAUGCACGAAAGCGUGGGGAGCAAACAGGAUUAGAUACCCUGGUAGUCCACGCCCUAAACGAUGUCAACUAGUUGUUGGGGAUUCAUUUCCUUAGUAACGUAGCUAACGCGUGAAGUUGACCGCCUGGGGAGUACGUCGCAAGAUU